CGCGCCGAUAGAUAAAGAAGGCGGCCGAGCGGCUCUGCUCGCCACAAAGCGGGUCGCAGCUGAGCGCGAAGGGCGCAAACGGUCGCGGCGUUGUACAACGGGAUAAGGCUACUUUUAUUUAUUUUACUUUUCUUUCUCACACCCAUGAAUAUCAGUUUGGGCAGAAUGACAUUUUCAAUGGAAGACUUUGUCCCCGUGCAAGUGGAGAACUUGACGGGUCUGGAAUCUGACUGGUCCGAGGUGCACGAAGCCGUCCGAUGGAUCCAGUUCUUCAUGGCCCUGUUGAGCAUUGCUGGAGCCGGAGGCAUCAUUGUUUACGCCGCUUUCCAGAACCUAAUCCAGACCCCAGAGGUAAG